CCUCUCUCAGGAUGGAACCUGGAGAGUUUUUCCAGUACUCUAUCGGUCUUGGUUAUGGGAGGGAGAGUCAAGCAGAGGCCUACCCAUUCCAUUCCUAGCUUGGGCAGUGGCUAGCGAGUGGAAGGCAAUCUGCUACAAGU